AAAAUAAUGCCUGUAAAGGAGACAAAUAUGGGAACAAGAUAGGCAGGACUGAGGAUGCCUGUGUACCAAUGUGGGCGGUUCAGAAACAGAACAGCUACAUAAUUCCCAUUCAAGCAAAAUCAUGGAUGUGAGAUUUUGCAAGAUGAAUUCUUUCCCUUGCAGUUCCCUAAUCCCUGAAGGCAACCGGUGCUGAAUCAUCAGAGUCUGGGAAAAGAAGUUGCCGCCGAUCUCUCAGAGAGGGAGGUGAACAUGUUCGUUCCUGACAGCAGAUCUGACGUGCAGGAAAUGAUGGGCAAAUGUUAUCCAUGGAGCUGAAAGAUUUUUUUAUUUCAGUAAGAAAGUACCAGCAAGAAAACAGCUGGUGCUUUCUUUCCUGCCAACACUAAUCCAUCCCUGUCAUUUUUUUCCCACUUAGCAAUGGUUGAGUCAACCAGAAGAAGCAGACUUCCUAACAUCCACGGAUCAAGACGGUGUAGGAUGGUGACUACGCUACAACGUCAAUGGGAGCCUUGACACUCUUAGAUAACUGCAAGGUAACUGGGACAUAUUUUUGUUUGUAGCUUUCAUGUUUCAUGAUAUUUUAAAGGCAACCCAGUGAACUUAUGAUGGCAAAGUAAAUUGCGGAGCUGCGAGAAGAUUUUAGCAAAUCACAGAGAGAAAGAAAAAGGAAGAUUACCUAUUUCAAUUCAGAGUAGUGAUUUUAAGGCAAACAGAUAUGUGUUCUUUUGCUGAUUGAUCUCAAGUAGAAUUACCCCGAUGGAGUGGUCUAAUGGAUAAACCAUUGCAGGAUGCAAUGGUUUAUCAGUAGCCGGU